ACUCCUACGGGAGGCAGCAGUGGGAAUAUUGGACAAUGGGGGGAACCCUGAUCCAGCCAUGCCGCGUGUGUGAAGAAGGCCUUAUGGUUGUAAAGCACUUUAAGCGAGGAGGAGGCUACUCUAGUUAAUACCUAGGGAUAGUGGACGUUACUCGCAGAAUAAGCACCGGCUAACUCUGUGCCAGCAGCCGCGGUAAUACAGAGGGUGCGAGCGUUAAUCGGAUUUACUGGGCGUAAAGCGUGCGUAGGCGGCUUAUUAAGUCGGAUGUGAAAUCCCCGNGCUUAACUUGGGAAUUGGCAUUCGAUACUGGUGAGCUAGAGUAUGGGAGAGGAUGGUAGAAUUCCAGGUGUAGCGGUGAAAUGCGUAGAGAUCUGGAGGAAUACCGAUGGCGAAGGCAGCCAUCUGGCUAAUACUGACGCUGAGGUACGAAAGCAUGGGGAGCAAACA
rnacentral:rRNA from 1 species